UACGAAGGGUGCAAACGUUGCUCGGAAUUAUUGGGCGUAAAGCGCACGUAGGCGGCAUUGCAAGUCGGAUGUGAAAUCUUAUGGCUUAACCAUAAAAGUGCAUCCGAAACUGCAGUGCUUGAGUACUUAAGAGGAUCGCGGAAUUCCCGGUGUAGAGGUGAAAUUCGUAGAUAUCGGGAGGAACACCAGUGGCGAAGGCGGCGCUCUGGACCGAGACUGACGCUGAGGCGCGAAAGCGUGGGGAGCAAACAGG
rnacentral:rRNA from 1 species